rnacentral:rRNA from 1 species
UACGUAGGGGGCGAGCGUUGUCCGGAUUUAUUGGGCGUAAAGAGCGUGUAGGCGGUUCGGUAAGUCUGUCGUGAAAUCCUGAGGCUCAACCUCGGGCGUGCGAUGGAUACUGCCGGGCUAGAGGGUGGUAGAGGCGAGUGGAAUUCCCGGUGUAGCGGUGAAAUGCGCAGAUAUCAGGAGGAACACCAAUUGCGAAGGCAGCUCGCUGGGACGUUACUGACGCUGAGACGCGAAAGCGUGGGGAGCAAACAGG